AGGACGAACGCUGGCGGCGCGCUUAACACAUGCAAGUCGUACGGAUCCUUUCGGGGAUCAGUGGCGAACGGGUGCGUAACACGUGAGUGACCUGCCCCUGUGCGGGGGAUAACCCGGGGAAACCCGGGCUAAAACCGCAUGCGCUCCUUGGGCUGCAUGGCUUGAGGAGGAAAGCUGCUGUGAAAGGCAGUGCGCAGGGAGGGGCUCGCGGCGUAUCAGGUAGUUGGUGAGGUAACGGCUCACCAAGCCGAUGACGCGUAGGGGGUCUGAGAGGAUGACCCCCACAUUGGGACUGAGAUACGGCCCAGACUCCUACGGGAGGCAGCAGUGGGAAUCUGCGCAAUGGCCGAAAGGCUGACGCAGUGACGCGCGUGCGGAGGAGCUCGUUCGGGUGUAAACCGCUGUCGGUGGACGAAGGUCCCGGGAGGAAACGUGCCCGUGGGAUGACGGUACCACCGAGAGGAAGCGACCGGCUAACGUCCGCGCCAGCACGCCGACGUAAUCGUGA
rnacentral:rRNA from 1 species